rnacentral:rRNA from 1 species
AUACGGAGGUUCCAAGCGUUAUCCGGAUUCAUUGGGUUUAAAGGGUGCACAGGCGGGCUAGUAAGUCAGUGGUGAAAUACUGCCGCUUAACGGUAGAACUGCCAUUGAUACUGCAAGUCUUGAAUAUGGUUGAGGUAGGCGGAAUGUGUUGUGUAGCGGUGAAAUGCAUAGAUAUGACACAGAACGCCAAUUGCGAAGGCAGCUUACUAAGCCAUUAUUGACGCUGAGGCACGAAAGCGUGGGGAGCGAACAGGAGUAGAUACCCGAGUAGUCC